rnacentral:rRNA from 1 species
UACGGAAGGCAGCAGGGGGGAAUAUUGCACAAUGGGCGCAAGCCUGAUGCAGCCAUGCCGCGUGUAUGAAAAAGGCCUUCGGGUUGUAAAGUACUUUCAGUCGUGAGGAAGGUGUUAAGGUUAAUAACCUUAGCAAUUGACGUUAGCGACAGAAGAAGCACCGGCUAACUCCGUGCCAGCAGCCGCGGUAAUACGGAGGGUGCGAGCGUUAAUCGGAAUUACUGGGCGUAAAGGGCACGCAGGCGGUUAAUUAAGUUGGAUGUGAAAUCCCCGGGCUUAACCUGGGAAUGGCAUUCAAGACUGGUUAGCUAGAGUCUUGUAGAGGGGGGUAGAAUUCCAUGUGUAGCGGUGAAAUGCGUAGAGAUGUAGAGGAAUACCGGUGGCGAAAGGCGGCCCCCUGGACAAAGACUGACGCUCAUGUGCGAAAGCGUGGGGAGCAAACAGGGAUUAGAUACC